AGAUGGCAAAAAAAGGGGUCAUGGUUUCUCGAUCCACCCCGGUGUCAGCAGUCGAGGCCUUGAGGCGUUCCAAAAGAUCUCUGUUGGCUGCACUGCCCAUGAUGGAAGAUGGUGUCCAACCAGCAAAGUCACACUUCCUGGAUGUUGUCAGAGGACUGAUCUUCAUAGAUCCAGUUGUGACAUUACACCCUGUCUUGUAAGGUAGGGAAGUAGGGACAGGAAAAGCAGGAAAAUGAGUGAAAGUGAAGCUACCAAAAAGUUGGAGCUCCACAGGUUGCAAGUAGAAGAAAAUGAAAGGAAGCGUAAGAGACAGGUGGAAUUAAAACAGACAGAAAUAGAUGAGCAAAAAUCAGCCCACCAGAGAGCCAUGGAACUGAGACAGCUUGAGGCUGAUAAGGAAAGGGAAGCCCAGAAGCUAGCCAUGGAGAUGCAAGCCAAAGCAGAAGAAGCCAGGAAAAAUGCUGCACAUCAGAAAGCCAUGGACUGAGACAGCUAGAGGCUGAGGAAGCCCAGAAUGGAGAAAGCUGGAGGCUGACAAAGAAAUCGAAGCAGAGCAGCCAGGCGUAAAAAUGCCCUGGAACUGAAAGACAAAGAAAUGAAGCAUGAACUGGCCAUAAUGGAGUGGAAGAGAGAACUCCACACCAGGGGGUCCCCUCUCCAAAAAUCCACAAGUGGGAGCAGUUGUGCCCAGCCUACAAUGAGUCUGGGGAUAUUUCUGAAUAUUUCAUCAUCUUUGAGAGGCUGUAUAUGCUCCAUGCAAUUCCUGAGCAUCAACAGAUGACCACUCUGGUUGCAAAGUUGUCUGGAAGGGCUCUGGGUAUAUUCAAUCAGAUGCCAAUUGGUGAUGCUUCCAACUAUGAUAAAUUUAAGAAUUUGGUUUUAAAAUAGUUUCAGAUCACACCUGAAACUCAUAGAGUAAAAUUUAGAAGCCUUAAGAGAGGGGCUGUAUUAAGUAAUGUGGCUUAUGUGAAUCAAAUGAAAGAUCUACUGGAUAAGUGGGUAAGGCAAAAAGGGUAUUACAAGCUUUGAAGGAACGUGUCAUUUG